rnacentral:tRNA from 2 species
GGCCGCUUGCUGGAACUGGUAGACAGACCGGACUUAAAAUCCGUUGCUUGGAAACGAGCGUGUGGGUUCGAUUCCCACAGCGGCCA